UAUUUAUCCUAAGCAAAAAGAAAAAAAAUAAAGAAGAGUUCAUUUAAUAUAAGAAAAAUAUAAAAUAAAGAACACUGUGGUUCCAAACCACAAACUAGAGAGCAUGCAAACUUCAGAAUGGGAAAGAAUGUGGUGAACUACUACUUAUGAACCCUGAGUGGCAGUGUGACAGACAGAUAGAGGGAAUACAGAAGAGCAACGCUGAAAGGGAACAGGAGAGGCUGUAGCCACUCUGCCACACUGACUGCCACGCCCAAACACCAGGAGUGACUGCACCUUACACACAGGCCAGCGCAAGAGGGGAGGUAACAGGCUUCUGGAUCUGAAUGUAGAUGAAGUUCUCUCAGAACUCCUUGGUCACAAAGGUGAAGAGCUGAGCCUUUGCCACCCACCUGCCUGUGUCACGAGGACCUUGGCAGGCCUGCAAGUGUGCUGGUGACCCCACCCUCCACCCAGAAGGCCCCGACAGGCCUGGAGAGCACUGGUGAUCCCUUCCUCCAUCAGGGCCUGGGUGGACCUGAAAGAUCCCUAAUGACACAGGAAGGCCCCAGUUGGAGCACACACAAU